rnacentral:hammerhead_ribozyme from 1 species
AUUCAGCUGACGAGUCCCAAAUAGGACGAAACGCGUGUCAAAACUGGAU